rnacentral:rRNA from 1 species
CCUACGGGAGGCAGCAGUGGGGAAUUUUGGACAAUGGGCGAAAGCCUGAUCCAGCAAUGCCGCGUGAGUGAAGAAGGCCUUCGGGUUGUAAAGCUCUUUUGUCAGGGAAGAAACGGUGAGAGCUAAUAUCUCUUGCUAAUGACGGUACCUGAAGAAUAAGCACCGGCUAACUACGUGCCAGCAGCCGCGGUAAUACGUAGGGUGCAAGCGUUAAUCGGAAUUACUGGGCGUAAAGCGUGCGCAGGCGGUUUUGUAAGUCUGUCGUGAAAUCCCCGGGCUCAACCUGGGAAUUGCGAUGGAGACUGCAAGGCUAGAAUCUGGCAGAGGGGGGUAGAAUUCCACGUGUAGCAGUGAAAUGCGUAGAGAUGUGGAGGAACACCGAUGGCGAAGGCAGCCCCCUGGGUCAAGAUUGACGCUCAUGCACGAAAGCGUGGGGAGCAAACAGGAUUAGAUACCCUGGUAGUCCACGCCCUAAACGAUGUCUACUAGUUGUCGGGUUUUAAUUAACUUGGUAACGCAGCUAACGCGUGAAGUAGACCGCCUGGGGAGUAACGGUCGCAAGAUUAAAACUUCAAAGGAAUUGACGGCUGAGAGNGCGAGACGACGACGAGGGAGGAGG